CAUUUCAAUAAUCCAAAUAAAAAAUCAGAAAACUCUGAACCUUUAAAUGGAGUGACGCGAAGGAGGCUAGGGUUAGCUCCGCAGAGGAGGUGGAGGCACACAGAGGCAACGAAGGAGGCGGUAACGAUGAUGCCCAGACAGUGACGUGGAGGCAGCGAGGAGGCGGUGAUGGUGACACCCACACAGUGGAGGAGGCGGUGAGGCACAGAGAGGAGGUGAGGCGGAGGCGCUGACGCGGAGGCACACGGAGGAGACGGAGGAGGCGGAGGACUC
rnacentral:lncRNA from 1 species